GUAUAGUGGUAGGUUGCAUAAGGUAUUAUGGAUGCAUGAACCUUAUUAUGUUUGAUGUUUAUUACCUACCGUUGAGAUGUGUAUGUUAAAACAUUGAGGAAUAGGGUAAAUGGAAUAUGCAUGUUGAUAAUCAUGGAACAUGUUGGAUGGCAUAUGAAUGUUAACAUUAUGAAAAGAUGUUAGUUGGUAUAUGUAUAUAGAUAUAUUGUGGAAUAUGAUAUAUGGAAUAUACAUGUUGACAUUGUGGAAUAUGCUAGAUGAAAUAAUGCAUGUUCGCAAGUUGUAAAAUGU
rnacentral:lncRNA from 1 species